rnacentral:snRNA from 1 species
GUGCUCUAGUUGGCAGCAUGUAUAUGAAAAUUGGAAAGAUAGAUUAAAAUGGCCUCUGUGCAAGGAUGACAUGCAAAUUCAGCUAGGGCCAAUUUCUAUUU